rnacentral:lncRNA from 1 species
CGACUGACAUAACCAAUUUUUUUUGAGAAGAAAACCUUCUUUGUGAAAUUGAGAUUACAAUACAAAGCCAAGAGAGAAAAUAUAAUUACAAGAAAAGUGUUUCUUGUUCUUCUAAUUUGAGUUGAGAUUUUUGAGAAAAUAUUUCAACACAAUAUUCUUCUUUCAAUUUGUUCACGUGUUUCAUUGAUCAAAGAGUUGAUAGCAAGGAUCGGCCUCAGUGUGGAUACGCAUAGAGUCUUCGUACUACCGAAGAAUUUUGAAACGAGACUCUCUUCACCAGGUACGUCUUUGAUCCGAUCUUUGACACGUAAAUAAAUUUUAAACAUGAAAAAAUCUACCUAGAAUUGUCAUUGUCUUCCGUUGCGUGUUACGAACACCUAUGCGCAAUCCUUCAAUAACGUGGUAACAAUAUCCUUGAAAUCAGAUCUUAACUCUUUGAACAUGCAAAUAUUGAAAUAUGAUGCAUUCAAUGGUCUUCAUGCGGUUGCUAACGCAUCAGAUUAGAAGUUUUACUUUUUGGAGAAAUUGUGUCAAAAUAAGGUCAUCAUGUUUGAGGUUUUGCAACUUCAUAUGAAGAUUAAGGACUCUAGUAUUGGAAGGAGAAGAUAAGGCUUCCUCCAAAGCAUUCCAUUUAUAUAUUAUGGGUUGUGCUUAACAGUAUCUACCUUCAACCACAAGCAAAGAAGAUGGACAUGUCUUUGAGCCAUCAAUGAAAUCAUAAAAGUUUUUACCACGUAGGAAGGGCAUCAGUUAUGCUUUCCAAAAUAAAUAAUUUUUAAAAUUUAGUUUGAUAGAGAUAAA